ensembl:lncRNA
AGUUUUAUUGGGAAGUCAAUAAAACAGGAGGCAGGGCUCAAAUCUGUCUCCCUAUCCAGUGUUCAGGGCAAAAGGUAAAGGGUGAGGGGAGCUUCAAACUUAGCAGAAACUGAUUGGCUAGUCUUAAAAGUCAGAAGCUGAUUGGAAUCAAGCUACUUGGGCAGCUAGAAGCCAGAUUUUUCUUUUCCUUGGCCACGCCUGUGGCAGGCAGCAGUUCCUGGGCCGAAAUGGAAACCACACCACAGCAGUGAUAAUGCUGGAUCCUUAACCUGCUGAGCCACCAGGGAAUUCCCAGGUUUUUCUUACUGAAGAACUUCUUGCUUGGUGAAGGGCUCCAGCAGCAACAUUUCUAUUGUCUGAGUUCCAAAGACUUGAAGAUUCUUGGUUCCAGGGUCCUCCAGGGCUUCCAUCUUGUACACGCGCCAUGCUGUCUCUAUAAAAUAACUCAAGGUUUGAUUAAACAACAGCCUAUUUAAGGAAGCAAAACCAUUGAAAGCAGAUCAACAUUUUAUGUGCAGUUUCUAUUCCCCCCUUUUCUUUGUACAUUCCUCGAUCUUAAGGGAAAUAGGGCGACGACCGCUCUAGCUGCUUCNNNNNNNNNNNNNNNNNNNNNNNNNNNNNNNNNNNNNNNNNNGACAUAGAGGAAUGAAAUUGUUUUUGCACUGGAUUGUAAAUAUUCCUGAGUCCCACCUUGAACUCUUAAGUCUUGGGCAAUCAUCAUGUGAGUCUGGGAGGCCUUUUUAAAUAUACGGGACAGACGAUAAGUAAAAAAUUUGGUGAGUAAAGGGGUUAAUCCCAAUAUACACAAAACUGAGUCCUAAUUUUAACAUUUCUCCAAAAACAGACCUUAUUCCUUUGGGAAUCCAUGAAAACACACUAUUUUUAACAUUUUUAGUAAUUUGAUUCGGAUGUAUGUAGGCCUGGUUGAGACUUCUGGGCAGAAGCUGUCUACUUUUGAAAUGUCCUCUUCUCUUCCUGGCCAGGUAGAGUCUUAGCUGUCCCGUUUCUUUUCUUUUCUCUUUUGGUUGCCCCGCGGCAUAUGGAGUUCCCAGGCCAGGGAUCAGAUCCAAGAUGCAGUUUUGAUCCUCGGGGUAGUGAUUUUCCACAUUUGAGGAGGAUGCGAUUCCUUGGGUUUAGACAGUGCACAGGGAUGUCUGUGGGAAAAAUGAAUCAUCUAGAAGCAUAAUAUUAGCAGAAAAUAAGAGAACACCAAGAAACUAUACAUUUUAUAGUAUCUAAUUCUUUUGGAAUGGGAUCAUUUUCAAGACUGAAAUAAUAGUCUUAAGGAAUGGUCUCCUGUAUAACAUUAAGGGCUCAAAUGAAGCUCGCUUCGAGGGGCUACUCUUACCCUUGGCAGGGCAACUGUUAAGACCUCAUCUCAAGUAAAGUUGGCUUCUUGACAUUGGCAGUUGUCUCUUAAAAGAUAGGAUUCAUCAUUUCGGUCACGAGAGCUCUAUGAAGCAUUUAACUUCUGCUCUAUUCUAAGAGCUUCAGAUCCCCCUUGAGUGAUCUUGGCUACGAAAGCUCCUCUACCAUCACUUUGAAUUGAAAGAGGGAACUCAAAAGGAGGGAUAAUUUCUUUUAGUAAGGCCUUUUUUUUUGGAGCGGGGGCCUGCAGGUGCAGCAGAUGGAAGUUCCCAGGCUAGGGGUAGAAUUGGAGCUGCAGCUGCUGGCCUACACCACAGCCGCAGCAGCUUGGGAUCUGUGCCUUGUCUGUGAUCUGCACCACAGCUCUCAGCAACGCUGGAUCCUUUAACCCACUGAACAAGGCCACGGAUUGAACCCUCAUCCUCAUGGAU